UACCAGCACCCCGAGUGGUCGGGACGAUUAUUGGGCCUAAAGCAUCCGUAGCCGGUUCUACAAGUCUUCCGUUAAAUCCACCUGCUCAACAGUUGGGCUGCGGAGGAUACUAUAGAGCUAGGAGGCGGGAGAGGCAAGCGGUACUUAGUGGGUAGGGGUAAAAUCCGUUGAUCCAUUGAAGACCACCAGUGGCGAAGGCGGCUUGCCAGAACGCACUCGACGGUGAGGGAUGAAAGCUGGGGGAGCAAACCAGGAUUAGAUGACC
rnacentral:rRNA from 1 species